rnacentral:lncRNA from 1 species
GACAAAUAACUUCUUUUACUCCUGGAGAGAAAAGGAAGGUGGGAUGAAGGAAAAGGAAAAAAAGUUUAAAUUCUUCAAAGCAAAUUACUAGAUCUUCCUGGUACAACAAAAAGCAGGAUACAUAGAAGAGAUGUUAUAGAUAAAGAAUGUAGAAAAGUUUCUAUCAACUUAAAGUUUUGCAUGCGGUAUUUGAGAAUCCACCUUUGCUCAAUGUGCUAGGAGAAGGACAACAUGGAUCCAUGGGAUGCCUUUCAAAUAAAUGUUUGCUGGAUUAAGUUCACCCAACUCACGUUUUUGACAUCUCACAGGUUGGCUGAGUCAACUACCAAAGGAUGAGGACUAAUGAAGAUAAUUCAAAACUGUAAUUUCAGGAACUAGAACAAAAAAGGAGACAUGAAAAAGAAAACAUGCAAAAGAAAAUAUCUUUCUGAACUGUUAUCAGUGGUAAUGAAAACUAUAGGCACCAUUAGAGAGAUGUAUACUAAAGAACACUACUAAAAGCAGUACUUUUCACUUAGGGUAAAGAUUGUUUACUUUGAAUCAAGGAGAGGAGAUAUCUACUAAACUACUGCCUACGUAUUCCAGAAUAAAAAAAAAAAAAAAAGAGCA